AGGGAUGACUGGUGACAGAGUGAGGGAAUGACUGGUGACAGAGUGAGAGAGGGGGUGACUAGUGACCGAGUGAGGGAGGGAGUGGGUGACUAGUGACAGAGUGAGGAAGGGGGUGACACAGUGAUAGUCACCCCAUUCCUCCCUCUGUCACUAAUCACCACCUCCCUCACUCUCACUAGUCACCCCUUCCCUCCCUCACUCUGUCACUAGUCACACCCUCCCUCUCUCUGUCACUAGUCACACCCU